CGAUGAAGCCUAGCUUGCUGGGUGGAUUAGUGGCGAACGGGUGAGUAACACGUGAGUAACCUGCCCUUGACUCUGGGAUAAGCCUGGGAAACUGGGUCUAAUACCGGAUACGACCAUUGCCCGCAUGGGUUGGUGGUGGAAAGCUUUUGUGGUUUUGGAUGGACUCGCGGCCUAUCAGCUUGUUGGUGAGGUAAUGGCUCACCAAGGCGACGACGGGUAGCCGGCCUGAGAGGGUGACCGGCCACACUGGGACUGAGACACGGCCCAGACUCCUACGGGAGGCAGCAGUGGGGAAUAUUGCACAAUGGGCGAAAGCCUGAUGCAGCGACGCCGCGUGAGGGAUGACGGCCUUCGGGUUGUAAACCUCUUUCAGUAGGGAAGAAGCGAAAGUGACGGUACCUGCAGAAGAAGCGCCGGCUAACUACGUGCCAGCAGCCGCGGUAAUACGUAGGGCGCAAGCGUUAUCCGGAAUUAUUGGGCGUAAAGAGCUCGUAGGCGGUUUGUCGCGUCUGCUGUGAAAGGCCAGGGCUCAACCCUGGUUCUGCAGUGGGUACGGGCAGACUUGAGUGAUGUAGGGGAGACUGGAAUUCCUGGUGUAGCGGUGAAAUGCGCAGAUAUCAGGAGGAACACCGAUGGCGAAGGCAGGUCUCUGGGCAUUAACUGACGCUGAGGAGCGAAAGCAUGGGGAGCGAACAGGAUUAGAUACCCUGGUAGUCCAUGCCGUAAACGUUGGGCACUAGGUGUGGGGGACAUUCCACGUUUUCCGCGCCGUAGCUAACGCAUUAAGUGCCCCGCCUGGGGAGUACGGCCGCAAGGCU
rnacentral:rRNA from 1 species